UCCAUGGAAAGCUUUCUUGGAACACAGAACGAGAAUUCUUGUGUAGAAGAAUAGCCUGCCUGUUUUCAGAAGAAAGGCGGGAAAAGUGCCUGGAACCACACCCACUAAUGAUAUCAACAGUUUCCAGAAGGCUUGCCCAUAAAGUGGUGCCUGCUUGGCUGGACAAAGCAAGCCUGCUGUGGCCCCACCCCUGAUGUCAGCCGUGGGUCAUGAACGUGGGACUCUUCACAUCACGUGGUAUAGGACCUAAUUCACCAGGUUCACCUCUCUCCCCGCACCGGAACUCAAACGCUGACCUUCUCCUCCCGCCCUGCCCUAGCUGUGCCUGCGUGCCCUGCUCCUGUGGAAGAAAGCUGCAUCUUUUCCAAGAAGAGUUGCUGUCUUGCUCAGAUGAAAGGCGUGAAGCCAGGCUGAGGUGCAAGAGUAGUGAUGCUGGCAAAUCAGAUAUGCUUAAAAGACGUCAUAGUGCGUCUUCUUGAAGUAAAAAGGAGAGAGUGAUCAACUUAAUAAGGAAAGGAAAAAGUCCUAUGCUACAGUUGCUGAGUUCUAUGCAGGGGCUGGUGCUGUGGCACAGUGGGUAAAACCGCCACCUGCAGUGUUGGCAUCCCAUCUGGACUCUGGUUGGAAACCCAGCUGCUCCACUUCUGAUCCAGCUCUCUGCUAUGGCCUGGGAAAGCAGUAGAGAAUGGCCCAAGUGCUUGGGACCCUGCACCAUUAUAGGAGACCCAGAAGAAGCUCCUGGCUUGUGGUUUUGGAUUGGCCAAUGCAGCCAUUUGAGGAGUGAACCAGCAGAUGCAAGACUUCUCUCUCUUCUCUGCCUCUGCCUCUCUGUAACUCUGCCUUUCAAAAAAAUAAAAUAAAUAUUAAAAAAAAUCUCUUAGCAAUUGUGAAUAAUGAUCAAGGAACAUGGAUGUGCUAACAUCUCUUCAAGAUUCUGCUCUCA